AUUAUUUAUAGGUUGGUGAAAGUAAAUUAAAAUGGAUACUCAAACCCAUUAUGAAUGGGAAAGAGGCCAACCCAGUGGAGUGGAAGGUGACAAGCUGGAAGAAAGAGGAGAUAGGUUUUGCAAACAAUGAAUUCACAAGCGGUGUCACUUUUAGAUUCCACCAGCUUGCGGGGUCUGCAGAAAUGUCAGAACCCACACAGGAUGGCUCAGGGCUGGCACCUCGGCCUGGAGGUGACGAAGGAGGACCAAAAGCUCCUUUCCAAGCUCUUAAGGCAGCCUGCAGCGCCUGCCUCUCUCACCCAGGAUGCUGGUUUUGUACACUGAAAAAACCACAAAACAAAACAAAAACAAAAAACAAAGCAACUGGUUUGCAAAUCAGGCAGGGCCAGCACCACCGUCUUGGAGUGGAAGAGUCUCUGCUGAGGUGAAGGCAGAAGGUGAAAUGAAUUGGUCAUUUAACCGGGGCCUGGGGAAAGUGAGCACCAUCGCGUGUGAGGUGAAUUCUGAAUGAGGCUCUUGGAGGGAGGCCCAAGGAAUCGAGAGAAUUGGCGGAGAAUUGGCAACCGUGUCUUUGUCAUUUUCAUCUGUUGCACGACGGUGCCCCAAACACCUUUGUUUCCUGUCUGUGCCGUGAGUCUCUCUGGCCAUGACCUUCACCGGGUCCAGUGAAGCAUUGUCUGCUCCCAGCCAGAGGAACCUGAGCCUCUCGGGCCACCGGCAUUUUCCUGCCUGACACGCGCCUGACAGCCUGACACGCAUCCGUCUGUGGCAUCGUCAUCAAAGGCAGCUUGCUUCUCUCCACAUUUUACUCUGUGCUUGUGAGUUCAGGUCUCUUGUUAUUUAUUUAUUUCAGUUUUUAAGUGUGUUGGUACUUGGCCUGCCUGUGUGUCUGUGUGAGGGAGUCACAGC
rnacentral:lncRNA from 1 species